UAGGGAAUCUUCGGCAAUGGGGGCAACCCUGACCGAGCAACGCCGCGUGAGUGAAGAAGGUUUUCGGAUCGUAAAGCUCUGUUGUAAGAGAAGAACGUGUGUGAGAGUGGAAGGUUCACACAGUGACGGUAACUUACCAGAAAGGGACGGCUAACUACGUGCCAGCAGCCGCGGUAAUACGUAGGUCCCGAGCGUUGUCCGGAUUUAUUGGGCGUAAAGCGAGCGCAGGCGGUUUAAUAAGUCUGAAGUUAAAGGCAGUGGCUUAACCAUUGUUCGCUUUGGAAACUGUUAAACUUGAGUGCAGAAGGGGAGAGUGGAAUUCCAUGUGUAGCGGUGAAAUGCGUAGAUAUAUGGAGGAACACCGGUGGCGAAAGCGGCUCUCUGGUCUGUAACUGACGCUGAGGCUCGAAAGCGUGGGGAGCAAACAGG
rnacentral:rRNA from 1 species